AGGAGAAAGGACAACCACAAAGCAACCAGUCAGUGACCUUUUGGCAGAUAGCCAAGCACUGAGAGUGACUCUGUGUACUCUUGUUCCGUUGCUAAUAUUGUCAAUAUUGAUAAUCGUUUGGAAGUACAGGUGCCACUCAAAACAAGAUACAGAAGGACUAAGAGCAGACCAACAAUGUGACAUCCAAGAAACCUUAGGUGCAUACUCUGAAAUAAUGGAGACCAAUGAGCUGUAUACAUGGGAUCAAGACAGCACCAUCUAUGACCAUGAGGAAGCUAAAUACAGUGAAAUUCCAGACUGCUGAGGACAAACAGUAGCCAGUAACAAAUAUUUGGUGACCCAGCAGUUACCUGCUAGUUACUAUGCAGACGAGGACAUCCAAAAAAAAAAAGAGACCAGCAUGAAGAAAACAGUACUUACACAAAACGAAACAACAAUUUGUUUUCAAUGAAGUUUUUUGUGACCUUGCAUUAAAAUGUUCUUUAGCGUGUACAUAUGUAAAUAUGUAAAUAGAGAGGUCCAGUCACACAAUGGAAAUGGUUACAGGCUAUAAGAAUCAUACUCUACAGACUACCAUGAUGAAGGCAAGAGAUACACCAGUAGUGAAAAAACCUUUCAAGGAAUCACAUGGUUGGUUAACAAAAUGUUGGAUCCUAUGAGAAAUGUUUUGGACUCUGCAUCCAGCUUGUUUUUGAAUUUGCAAUGAUGUUGUCUCUAACAUCACGUGUUCCCACAUAGCUUUUACACACAAUAGGCAAAACCUGGGUAACCUCACACAUCUGCUUAUAUUAAAAUUGUUUAAGGGUUGAGUUACACAAUAUUAAAAUAUUAACAUAGGAUUCAGAGCCUGAAAAUAAACUGACAACUUAGGCAACUCAAUGGCCAUUCUUAGCAGACAAACCAUAAGUGUAUAUGAGCCCUAUUUAUGUGCAUCCACGUGCUGUAUUCAAGUAAAACAAAAGCUUGUUGGGUUGCAUUUUCAUAAAUAUUGAAGAUUCUUUAUUUCAGUUGUAUCUAUUUAAUGUUCUUUAAUUGUAAAUAUCACUGAUGAAUGAGUGUUAGUUAUC